AAGCUCAUCCGGUUCUGCGCCGUCAGCGCGCCGUAGUUCUGCGCGAUCGCGUGCACAUGGCAGCCCUGCAACCAGCACCACGCAUUCACCGGUGAGUACUACGCCCGAGGCGCGCCCGCCACCUGUUCGACCUAGUGCCUCGCUGAGCAAGGCGUGACUGAGAAGAGGCCAGGCUUGUAAGCUGACCUCAAAGAGGGAGAGAGCGUUGCCGAAGAUGAAGUCCACGGAGCCUUCGAUGUAGCAAUCCUUGUAGUAAUGCCUGCCGAGGUGAUCGUAGAGCGUGUCCUGCGCCCCCAGAAACUUGCAUCCCACGAAGGCGGCGGUGUCCCCCGAUAUCCUCAGCGCCACCGCUUGCUUCCCCCUAGCCCCUGGUCGUGGAACAGGGGUGGUGUUCUGUGAGAGCAGAAAAGGACAAGGGUUGUUGGAUUGGGCGCUGGAACAGGGAGGUGUCAUUGUCGGUAUUGCUUACCUUGAAGGUUAUGUUCUUGGCUAUGAAAUAGGGAGCAUUGACGGCAAAGGUGGCUGAAUUGAAGGUGCCAAUUGGCUGUCCUCUCGGCCCGAGUGUCUCCGCGGUGUCGCCCCACUGCACCACUGUGCUAUCCGCUCCCGCUCCUUGUAUGCUGAUGAAGGCUCUCAUCGCCGGAAUCUCCACCUUCUCCCUGCUCCAUGAUUAACACCCCGGUAAUCAAGCGAUCGACCAAUGUACAAGUAGCCAAAGAGGAGACGACGAAGAAUGCUCACUCACGUGUACGUGCCGGCAUUGACCUUGAUCACCACGCGCACCAAGUUAAUCAGCGGGAGCGAGUCGACGGCGGCCUGGAUCGUGGUGAAAUCUCCGACCGAUGGCUUCUUGUCAACAGUGAGCGUGUAGGAAGGGAACGCCUUGUUGAGCGCUCUGCUGAACACGCUAUGCCGGAGGCCACCGACGAACCAGACCCACCUCAUGAACUGCUGCUCGGCCAACUCCACCUGCGUGGAGUUCUUCUGCCGCCGCGGCAGCCGGAGCCCCUUGGUAUGACACUGGACCUCCCCGGAGUCCACCAGCAGCAGGAGAACCACGGCGAACGCAAUUCCUCGUAAUCUGAACAUCGUCUGGGCGACGCCCGCAACGUGUCUGUGGAAAUGCAGAGCAGAAAAGAUAGAAGAUGAAUUGAGAGAGAUCACGGGUCCUUCCACCGAGAAAUUAAAGGCAGAGGUGCUUUUAUACAUGCGUACAUGCAGCCCGUGAUCUCCCUCCAUGGCAUCCCAUGAACACCAAGAAAAGGAACUGUUUGGUACGCUUCGCUAAAAACCACAGAGAGCAUCAUUUGUAUAAUGGAAUGGACUGUGGCUCCACACUGUUGCUAAUGGCAUUAUGGCAAUGGGCAAUGGGCCAUGCAUGAGGUGAGCUUGUGGUGGUGGUGGGGUGGUUGUGUGUGGGUUGUUUAGGUCGAGUGACUGGGUGAGCAAUUUGCUCUCAUCUUCCUCGUGCCUUCAUGCAUGCAGAGUAGCAUUGAGGGCACUGAGUUAGGUCUUAAUUAACUCUGAGGGGGAGUGACGCAGGGCGCAUGAUACUAGUUAAUGGUCCAGUCGCUCAUUGUUGAUUUUGUCCUUUCUGCAUGAAGCUUUUGAAGGUUUAUUGGUCGAGCACGAUGUAUUCGGAGAUAAUGAGCCAUCUCCUCUCCGCGAGGUCCAGCUACCUUCUUUGAGGCGCAGCCCUGCUAACACUCGUAUUUAGGAGUCCCCUAUAACGGAGACUUUUGUCGAGAGCUGGUUAUCUUCGAUUUCAACUUCCUAAAUUGUUUUUGACUAUCGCGGCCUUUGUAUUUGGCUGUCAGGACCCCUCUUGGCUGAAGACAGGGACGACACUUGGUCAACGGUCCCACCAUGCUAGAUGUGCAAUUCAAUCGUUG